rnacentral:lncRNA from 1 species
GUUCUAUCCCCCCACCAACACUCAUCUCGUUCGAUCCCCACCAGGCUCAUCCAGAUGCGCCAUUUCUCCUGAUUUGCUGCUGGCAAAGGAAGAUGUCGUUGGUGCCAGCAGUAAACUAAUUCCCAGCCUAUUCUCCAGCAUGCGGAUCGAGUCUGCCGGCGCGGCCACGGGGAGGGCAAGGGAGAACAUGGCGUGCUGUUCAAACUCGUCAUGGCCGGCGGCGAGCUGUCAUAGCUGAGGUGCUGGAUGUGGGUGGCUGCGCUGAUGGAGCUUACGGAGAAGGCUGCACCAAUUUGUGAAUUUCCUUCUCGCAAAAAAAUUGUGAAUUUCCCAGGCGAACUCAUGCUACGGAGAAUGGUUGGAUCUAAAGGCACGGGACUACGGAUGGCACCAUGGCUAUGGUCCAUGAGAUCAAUUGGGUAAUGUAGGCAAGUCUCACACCGCGGACUGCUCAGCGCGGUGGUUCUCCUAUUAGCUGAGGCGCUGGAGAAGAGACAGGUAUUAAUCCCUUCCUAUUCUCUCAUAAUUCUAUCGAUUCUCCUCUUGCUUGCAAGUACAUAUGUACGUAAUAAGUUAUUCAGUUUCACAGUAAAACUUAUUUAUAAGGAAUUUGAGAAUUUUAAAGCUUAGUUUUUCUUAAACACCUGUUUUGACAAUGAAGAAUUAAGUAUGUUCUUGUAUUUGUAAUCUAGGAAAUAUCCGAGUACAAACCUGUUGUAAAUGCUUUCAUUUAUUAAUUGGAAUUUCGUUCAUAUGUGUUAAUCAACGUACAAUGGUUGAAUUUUUUACAUAUAAUGUCGGCGCUGUGUAUGAUGAAGAGUUUUUUUUAUGGUUUCUCUAAACUUAAAAGGCCAUAUGAGAGAUACAAUUUUUGUUACUAAGGACAAUAAACUGAUGAAAGUACAUGCAUGAAUGUAUUUUAAAAAAUAGAAUAUGCCCUACUUUUGAUAGUCUUGUAUCAAUGUAAUUUCAUGCUAUUUGAGAUGUUAAGGAACCUGAUGUGAAAAUAAGUUUGGUGGGUGACUACUGCUUUGGAAGUAAUGUGAUUAGUUAGUGGAUUUGCUUUGCUUCAAGGUCUAAACGUGGGAAGUUUUUUUGUAGUCAGGAUGGCGACACCGGGCUAAUCUAGCCGUAUGUGGAACACUGGAGAGCAUGCGAUUGGCGUUUAUCAUGUUUUGCUAUUAAUAAGUUUAUGAAGCAAGG